GGGCCGGUAGAUCAGGGGAAGAUCGCUUGCUUCGCAAGCAAGAGGUCGCGGGUUCAAAUGCACCACUUGCGGUCACA
rnacentral:tRNA from 2 species